rnacentral:rRNA from 1 species
UGUUUGAUGUUCUAACGUGGACCCGUGAUCCGGGUUGCGGACAGUGUCUGGUGGGUAGUUUGACUGGGGCGGUCUCCUCCUAAAGAGUAACGGAGGAGCACGAAGGUUGGCUAAUCCUGGUCGGACAUCAGGAGGUUAGUGCAAUGGCAUAAGCCAGCUUGACUGCGAGCGUGACGGCGCGAGCAGGUGCGAAAGCAGGUCAUAGUGAUCCGGUGGUUCUGAAUGGAAGGGCCAUCGCUCAACGGAUAAAAGGUACUCCGGGGAUAACAGGCUGAUACCGCCCAAGAGUUCAUAUCGACGGCGGUGUUUGGCACCUCGAUGUCGGCUCAUCACAUCCUGGGGCUGAAGUAGGUCCCAAGGGUAUGGCUGUUCGCCAUUUAAAGUGGUACGCGAGCUGGGUUUAGAACGUCGUGAGACAGUUCGGUCCCUAUCUGCCGUGGGCGCUGGAGAACUGAGGGGGGCUGCUCCUAGUACGAGAGGACCGGAGUGGACGCAUCACUGGUGUUCGGGUUGUCAUGCCAAUGGCACUGCCCGGUAGCUAAAUGCGGAAGAGAUAAGUGCUGAAAGCAUCUAAGCACGAAACUUGCCCCGAGAUGAGUUCUCCCUGAGACUUAGAGUCUC